AUUGAACGCUGGCGGCAGGCCUAACACAUGCAAGUCGAACGAGUGGUGGACUGGUGAGUAAUGUCAGGGAAACUGCCUGAUGUAGGGGGCUAACUACUGGAACCGGUAGCUACUACCGCAUACUACGGGCUGUGCCCAGAGGGGAUUAGCUAGUAGGUGGGGAAUCGGCUCACCAAGGGGACGAGCCCUAGCUGGUCUGAGAGGAUGAGCAGCCCCACUGGAACUGAGACACGGUCCAGACUCCUACGUGAGGCAGCAGGGGGGAAUAUUGCACAAUGGGCGCAAGCCUGAUGCAGCCAGGCCGCGUGUAUGAAGAAGGCCUUCGGGUUGUAAAGUACUGUCGGCGGGGAAGCGUUACCCGCAGAAGAAGCACCGGCUAACUCCGUGCCAGCAGCCGCGGUAAUUC
rnacentral:rRNA from 1 species